rnacentral:rRNA from 1 species
CGUAUGCAAUCUACCUUCAACUGGUGAAUAGCCCGAAGAAAUUCGGAUUAACACACCAUAGUAUAUUAGAGUGGCAUCACUUUAAUAUUAAAACUCCGGUGGUUGAAGAUGAGCAUGCGUGACAUUAGCUAGUUGGUGAGGUAAUGGCUCACCAAGGCUACGAUGUCUAGGGGAUCUGAGAGGAUUAACCCCCACACUGGUACUGAGACACGGACCAG